AUGUUCUCUGUAGCUCUGCUGCUGCUGCUGGCUGCUGGAUCCUGUGUGAAAUGUGAACAGCUGACACAGCCAGCCUCUGUGAUUGUGCAACCAGGUCAGCGUCUGACCAUCACCUGUCAGGUCUCUUAUUCUGUGGGCAGCUACUACACAUCUUGGAUCAGACAGCCUGCAGGGAAAGGACUGGAGUGGAUUGGGAUGCGAUAUACUUCGGGCACUUACUAUAAAGAUUCACUGAAGAGCAAGUUUAGCAUUGACUUAGACUCUUCCAGCAAUAGAGUGACUCUAAACGGACAGAAUAUGCAGCCUGAAGACACUGCUGUGUAUUACUGUGCCAGAGAGUCACAGUAG